rnacentral:ribozyme from 14 species
AAGAAGAAAGAAGAAAAGGAGUAUCUAUUAGUAUAUAUGUUGUUUUCAUUCUCAUUUUUCCAUCAUAUGUUGUUUUCAUUCUCAUUUUUCCAU